CUACGGAACUCCUACGGGAGGCAGCAGUGGGGAAUAUUGGACAAUGGGCGAAAGCCUGAUCCAGCAAUGCCGCGUGAGUGAUGAAGGCCUUAGGGUUGUAAAGCUCUUUUACCCGGGAUGAUAAUGACAGUACCGGGAGAAUAAGCUCCGGCUAACUCCGUGCCAGCAGCCGCGGUAAUACGGAGGGAGCUAGCGUUAUUCGGAAUUACUGGGCGUAAAGCGCACGUAGGCGGCUUUGUAAGUUAGAGGUGAAAGCCUGGAGCUCAACUCCAGAAUUGCCUUUAAGACUGCAUCGCUUGAAUCAUGGAGAGGCCGGUGGAAUUCCGAGUGUAGAGGUGAAAUUCGUAGAUAUUCGGAAGAACACCAGUGGCGAAGGCGGCCCGCUGGACAUGUAUUGACGCUGAGGUGCGAAAGCGUGGGGAGCAAACAGGAUUAGAAACCCGUGUAGUCCUCUUCGA
rnacentral:rRNA from 1 species